rnacentral:lncRNA from 10 species
CCACACAGCACAAUCUAGGAAUGUGUGCCUUGAGGGCGGACCCCACCGGCAUGGAGGCACUGCAGGACUGGGACUUUGGCCUCUGGAGAAUAUUCUAGGAGGCAGGGAGUGGGGGGGAACCUAGGGGAGCCCCCUGGCUCCCAGCUUCAUCCAUCUGCCUAGAUGAGGCCCGAGUAACAGGCCGUGCACAUCAGUGCCUUACUUUGUAAUUCUGUGGUUGGGAGCGUCCCUCCCUGCGAUUUUCCUUUUCCUUGCCCUUCCUCCCAUUUCUACCUUUUGCCUGCUUUCUUGUUGGGGGAGUCUCCUGUCUUUCACCCAUCCCCCUGCCUUGGCUGGAGGCUUUGCAAGUCUGCUCACUGUGGACUUGCCUGCAGUGUCCUGUGCUGAACAGAAACCUUCAUUUUAAUCGACCUAAUGCAAAACGCCUUACCUUAGAACUGUGUUUUUUCUGUUUCGUUUGAGAAUCGCGUCUGCUCCUCAGUCACAAUGGUAAUGGACUGUGUACCUAUGGGGCACGUGCACCAGCGAGGGCUCCUGCUGUGUUUCUCUCCUUAGAGUGAACCCAGCUUCCAGCAUCCUCCGCCUUGCCCUUUUGUUCUAGCACUGCUGGAAUCCGUCGUGUGCCUGGGUGUUGUGGGUCUCUCUGAGCCUUGUCUUCAAGUCCACAGGCCGCUUUGCCGACCCUACACUAUCCACACAGUGGCUCUGCAGGAUGGCUUAAUAUCCAUCCCCUUCACUCCUGCUCCAAGGUUCUUUGUGGAUCUCAUUGUUGCAGAUAAAUUGUAGAAUAGGUUUGCCAGGUAACAACUACCACCACCACCACCAAAAAAACCCUGGAUUUUUUUUUUUUUUUUUUUUGAGAUGGAGUCUUGCUCUGCCACCCAGGCUGGAGUGCAGUGGUGUGAUCUCGGCUCAGUGCAACCUCUGCCUCCCGGGCUCAAGCGAUUCUCCUGCCUGAGCCUCCCAAGUAGCUGAGACUACAGGAAUUUUGAUUGGGAUAAAUAACAGCCUUAUGCUGUCAAGCCAUCCAUUCAAGAGCAUGGACGGACUCUCUCUAAAUAUUUCAGGUCAUCCAUGGCCUCUUUAGCAUCUUAAAGUUUUCCCUGUAGAGGUCUUAUAUUGUAUUGGUUAAUUCAUCAAUACUUUGUUAAGUUUGUUUUUUUGAGACAGGGUCUCACUCUGUUGCCCAGGCUGGAGUGCAAUGGCGUGAUCACGGCUCACUGCAGCCUUGACCUCCCUGGGCGCAAACAAUCCUCCCACCUCAGCCUCCCGAGUAGCUGGGACUACAGGCUUGUGCCACCACGCCCGGCUAAUUUUUGUAGUUUUUGUAGAGAUGGGGGUCUCACUAUGUUGGCCAGGCUGGUCUUGAACUCCUGGGCUCGAGUGAUAUGCCCGCUUCGGCCUUCCAAAGUGUUGGGAUUACAGGCAUGAGCCACCGCUCCUGGCCUUAAGUUUGGUUUCUAUUAUAAAUGUUGCCCUAUAUUUAAAAAUUAUAUCCUCUUUUUAUUUUUAAAUUUUUUGUAGAGAUGGAGUCUCACUAUGUUUCUCACCAGGCUGAUCUCAAACUCCUGGCCUUACCUACUGUGCUCGUCUGUUCAACUAUUAUGUUACGUUUCUAUUUUUCCCCUUCGUUCUUUAAAAAACGGUGUUCUUGGUAUGCUUCCUCCUGGGAACCCCUCCCUGUUCCUGAGGCGCUUUGAGCUAUGACACAUUCCGUCCCCACGGCUCCACCUCUGCACCUGUGGGGGGACUUGCCCUGCUGGCAGUGCCACACCCUCAGGUGUGCACGGAACUGAAGUGUGACCUCACGUCGCUGGGGGUGUUGGCCUCUUGCUCAGGUGCAGUGCUCCUGGAAGGGCCGAAGAGUGGGUCCUGCCUCGGGUGGGCGCGCCCUGCUGUGCUGAGCCCCUCACAACCUGGCAGCAAGGGUUGCCCUGGCCCAGCGCUCACCCUCAGCCCCUGAGGGAGAAGUGCAGAAGCAAGAAGGCAGGAGGCUGAGGUCCUGGCACUUGGAGGAGAGGGGGAGUGAGGGGCGGCCAGUCAGACCCCCCGUAUU